CUCUUUGUGACCCCGUGGACUGUAACCUGCCAGGCUCCUCUGUCCAUGGCAUUCUCCAGGUGAUAAUAUCACAGCGCUCCUAGCACUUCCUCAGCUCUGCUUCUAGAAUUUUAUGGUGCAGCAACAUAAACCUGGGUCUUAUGGGCACUUACAGUUGAGCUAUUUCAAAUCCUGAAAGAUGAUGCUGUGAAAGUGCUUCACUCAAUAUGCCAGCAAAUUUGGAAAACUCGGCAGUGACCACAGGACUGGAAAAGGUCAGUUUUCAUUCCAAUCGAAAAGAAAGGCAACGUCAAAGAAUGCUCAAACUACUGCACAAUUGCACUCAUCUCACACGCUAGUAAAGUAAUGCUCAAAAUUCUCCAAGCCAGGCUUCAGCACUACAUGAACCGUGAACUUCCAGAUGUUCAAGCUGGUUUUAGAAAAGGCAGAGGAACCAGAGAUCAAAUUGCCAACAUCCACUGGAUCAUUGAGAAAGCAAGAGAGUUCCAGAAAAACAUCUAUUUCUGCUUUAUUGACUAUGCCAAAGUCUUUGACUGUGUGGAUCACAAUAAACUGUGGAAAAUUCUGAAAGAGAUGGGAAUACCUGACCACCUGACCUGCCUCUUGCGAAACCUGUAUGCAGGUCAGGAAGCAACAGUUAGAACUGGACAUGGAACAACAGACUGGUUCCAAAUAGGAAAAGAAGUAUGUCAAGGAGGUAUGUUGUCUCCCUGCUUAUCUAACUUAUAUGCAGAGUACAUCAUGAGAAACGCUGGGCUGGAUGAAGCACAAGCUGGAAUUAAGAUUGCCAGGAGAAAUAACAAUAACCUCAGAUAUGCAGAUGAUACCACCCUUAUGGCAGAAAGUGAAGAGGAACUAAAGAGCCUCUUGAUGAAAGUGAAAAAGGAGAGCGAAAAAGCUGGCUUAAAGCUCAACAUUCAGAAAACUAAGAUCAUGGCAUCUGGUCCCAUCACUUCAUGGCAAAUAGAUGGGGAAACAGUGGAAACAGUGGCUGACUUUAUUUUUUUUGGGCUCCUAAAUCACUGCAGAUGGUGAUUGCAGCCAUGAAAUUAAAAGAUGCUUACUCCUUGGAAGGAAAGUUAUGCCCAACCUAGACAGCAUAUUAAAAAGCAGAGACAUUACUUUGCCAACAAAGGUCCGUCUAGUCAAGGCUAUGGUUUUCCUAGUGGUCAUGUGUGGAUGUGAGAGUUGGACUAUAAAGAAAGCUGAGUGCUGAAGAAUUGAUGCUUUAGAACUGUGGUGUUGGGGAAGACUCUUGAGAGUCCCUUGGAUGGCAAGGAGAUCCAACCAGUCCAUCCUGAAGGAGAUAAGUCCUGGGUAUUCGUUGGAAGGACUGAUGCUGAAGCUGAAACUCCAGUAUUUUGGCCACCUGAUGUGAAGAACUGACUCAUCUGAAAAGACCCUUACGCUGAGAAAGAUUGAAGGCAGGAGGAGAAGGGGACAACAGAGGAUGAGAUGGUUGGAUGGCAUCACCGACUCAGUGGACAUGGGUUUGGGUAGACUCCGGGAGUUGGUGAUGGACAGGGCGGCCUGGCAUGCUGCGGUUCAUGGGGUCACAAAGAGUCAGACACGACUGAACUGAAUUGGCUCCUUUGAGAAUUAGAGAAUGUUUAGAAGUCAAACAGGAAAAAGCUAAUAAUGGGAAUAUGGGUGAUGAGUUUGGCGUUUCUCAAAGGUCGAAUUAAAAGACUCUUCAUUUAUUUAUUUAUUUUUUUAUUAAAAAAAGUAUCUAUGAAAACUAAAUAGCCUAUUCAGAUUUUUUUUUUCUUUAAGAAAUUCUGCAAAAAUGAAGGGUGGCUAGAACUUACAUUUCCGGCAGCCCUGCAGCAGGUGAACAUCUCUGGAGAAGGACUUGUUCAUCUUGCUUCUUUCAGUAGCUUCACCAGCAAGAAUAUAGACUGAGUGGGAAAAGAGGAACCAAAAGAAAUAUCUGUCAUUUUUAAUCUGUUUGCUGAGUGUGAUAGUCCAUUUUCUUUCUAAAACCAGGCUCUUGGGUACUUGGAAUGAUCUAAGUAACUAAUAUUCAUGUACACAGUGAUUUAAUAGGCUUAUACAUGCAUGGAGGUCUUCAGGGCUGGUUAUCAAAUGCUUUGGUUUUACAGAAAGAUGUCUGGAGUAUAUGUAGCGUUUUAUUAAUACAAAUGUUACAUGUACAUAGCACAGUGUCUUUCCAGUGCAUUAAAAAUGCUAUAGAGGUGUACAUGUUUUAUUAAUCUUUAUCCUUUUAUCUCACAAAACUCUUUCUGUGCUGCUGUUUAUUUGAGUAAUUUCAUUAUAUCCAAGGGCUUCCCUGGUGGUUCAGUUGGUAAAGAAUCCUCCUGCAAUGUGGGAGACCUGGUUUCCAUCCCCGGGUUGGGAAGAUCCCCUGGAGGAGGGCAUGGCAACCCACUCUAGUAUUCUUGCC